GGGGGGUAUUCCAGAAAGCAGGUUAUGUGACAUACCUGGGUAUGUUUAAGGGGAUUCCAAAUGUAAUUGGGUGCAUUGAUGGCACUCACAUUCCUAUUAAAGCUCCACCAAUAAAUGAGGGAGACUGUGUUAAUAGGAAAUCUAUUCAUAGUAUCAAUGUGCAGGACAGUACAAUGGUUACUUGCUGGGGGACAGAGGAUACCCUUGUCUGCCCUAUUUAAUGACACCCUACUCUGAACCUGAGCCUGGACCACAGACACGGUUUAACCUGCCUCACAGCCGAACACGGGCCAAGGUGGAGAUGACUAUAGGGAUCCUCAAAUCUUGGUUUCAGAGUCUGCGUGGGCUCCGGGUUAGUCCAGAGAGGGCAUGCGACAUUAUAGUAGCUUGUGUUGUGCUUCACAAUAUUGCCACUAUAAGAGGAGAGAGCCACCCUCCUUGUAUUGAGGAAGAUGGCCCAGAGGAACACCUACAGAUUUUAGAGGCCAACAGAGACGGAAGACUUUUGAGAGACAGGAUCUGUCAAAAUCACUUAUUAAUUUUUUUGCACUGGUCUGCCAGGCAGUGUAUUUCUUUAUUUCCUGUAAAAUUCAAUAAAAUAAUUAUUUAUAUUGCUUUACACAUACACACACACACACACACACACACACACACACACACACACACAUACCACUUUUAACAUGCAACAGAUUAAUAUUCAGACAAGUUCUCACCUUAAGGCGAUGCUCCAGUAAUUCAAUUUCAAGUGCUGCUUUUUUAAUGAGAAACCUUUUCUCUUCCAUUUGAAACUGUAUAAGGUCCCUCUCCAUGUCACUUUUUCUUAUUUGUUUUUGGAGAUGGACCUUAUACAGCUCAACAAAUCAAUUACAACUGUGACAGACUGAGUUCUUUCUGGAGGGUCCAAUAAUACAAUACGUCCAUCAGUAUCUAUAAGAACACACAACCCAUUAAAUUCUCAAUAUUAUUAAAGAAAAUAAUACAUGAAAAGAGUAAGAUGUCAGACUAAGAUCACAGUAGCCUAUACAUCAUAUGCAGUUAAAUAAAAUAAGCCUACAUAAAAAUGUAUCUUGUUCAAAAAGCCUUUAAGUGACAGAGAUAGUAAUUUAUUAGGACAAAAAAAAUGAAAAAUCAUAGAGGUAAACUUACAUUUCACCAUUUUUUCACCAUCACUUGUGGUGCAUGGUGUGUGUGAUGAACUGUCCCCUGGAAUGCCAGUAACCACUGGUUGCCCUUUAUUAAGGGACAGAGCCAGCUCCUCAGAUGGGGUGAGGGGAGGUGGUGGUGGACCCCCGCCAGUUAGACGGGCUUCAGUCUUCUUUUUAUUAGCUACAUGACAGAAUUAAUAUUCUAAAUCCUGUUAUAAUAAUAGUUCAGUAAUUGUGUAA